rnacentral:rRNA from 1 species
ACGCUGGCGGCAGGCUUAACACAUGCAAGUCGAACGGUAACAGGAAUUAGCUUGCUAAUUUGCUGACGAGUGGCGGACGGGUGAGUAAUGCUUGGGAAUCUGGCUUAUGGAGGGGGAUAACUACGGGAAACUGUAGCUAAUACCGCGUAAAAUCCUCGGAUUAAAGGGUGGGACUUUCGAGCCACCUGCCAUAAGAUGAGCCCAAGUGGGAUUAGGUAGUUGGUUAGGUAAAGGCUGACCAAGCCGACGAUCUCUAGCUGGUCUGAGAGGAUGACCAGCCACACUGGAACUGAGACACGGUCCAGACUCCUACGGGAGGCAGCAGUGGGGAAUAUUGCACAGUGGGGGGAACCCUGAUGCAGCCAUGCCGCGUGAAUGAAGAAGGCCUUCGGGUUGUAAAGUUCUUUCGGUGACGAGGAAGGUUGAUAGGUUAAUAGCCUAUCAAAUUGACGUUAAUCACAGAAGAAGCACCGGCUAACUCCGUGCCAGCAGCCGCGGUAAUACGGGGGGUGCGAGCGUUAAUCGGAAUAACUGGGCGUAAAGGGCACGCAGGCGGUGACUUAAGUGAGAUGUGAAAGCCCCGAGCUUAACUUGGGAAUUGCAUUUCAUACUGGGUCGCUAGAGUACUUUAGGGAGGGGUAGAAUUCCACGUGUAGCGGUGAAAUGCGUAGAGAUGUGGAGGUAUACCGAAGGCGAAGGCAGCCCCUUGGGAAUGUACUGACGCUCAUGUGCGAAAGCGUGGGGAGCAAACAGGAUUAGAUACCCUGGUAGUCCACGCUGUAAACGAUGUCGAUUUGGGGAUUGGGCUUUGAGCUUGGUGCCCGUAGCUAACGUGAUAAAUCGACCGCCUGGGGAGUACGGCCGCAAGGUUAAAACUCAAAUGAAUUGACGGGGGCCCGCACAAGCGGUG